rnacentral:misc_RNA from 1 species
ACGAGUUAGGGUCUUCUAGGCCCGACCUCCCAACCCUAUGUUUAUUAAACCUCUGUUGCUUCGGCGGACCCGUCUCACGACCGCCGGAGGAUCGCCGCGAGGCGUCCUCUGGCCAGCGUCCGCCGAUGGCCAACCACUUAAACUCUGAAUAAAUCGUGUCAUUAUGUCUAAGUCUAUGAUUAAAUUAAAGCA